rnacentral:rRNA from 1 species
UACGUAGGCAGCAAGCGUUGUUCGGAGUUACUGGGCGUAAAGGGUGUGUAGGCGGUUGUUUUAAGUUUGGUGUGAAAUCUCCCGGCUCAACUGGGAGGGUGCCGCCGAAUACUGAAUGACUCGAGUGCGGGAGAGGAAAGUGGAAUUCCUGGUGUAGCGGUGAAAUGCGUAGAUAUCAGGAGGAACACCGGUGGUGUAGACGGCUUUCUGGACCGUAACUGACGCUGAGACACGAAAGCGUGGGUAGCAAACAGGAUUAGAUCCACGUAGUC